rnacentral:rRNA from 1 species
UGGGGAAUUUUGCGCAAUGGGCGAAAGCCUGACGCAGCAACGCCGCGUGCGGGAUGAAGGCCUUCGGGUUGUAAACCGCUUUCAGCAGGGACGAACGUGACGGUACCUGCAGAAGAAGCCCCGGCUAACUACGUGCCAGCAGCCGCGGUAAUACGUAGGGGGCAAGCGUUAUCCGGAUUCAUUGGGCGUAAAGCGCGCGUAGGCGGCUUGUUAAGCGAGAUGUGAAAACCGGGGGCUCAACCCGCGGCCUGCAUCUCGAACUGGCAGGCUUGAGUCUGGUAGAGGAAAGUGGAAUUCCUGGUGUAGCGGUGAAAUGCGCAGAUAUCAGGAGGAACACCAGUGGCGAAGGCGGCUUUCUGGGCCACGACUGACGCUGAGGCGCGAAAGCUAGGGGAGCAAACAGG